rnacentral:rRNA from 1 species
UACUCCUACGGGAGGCAGCAGUAGGGAAUCUUCCACAAUGGACGCAAGUCUGAUGGAGCAACGCCGCGUGAGUGAAGAAGGCUUUCGGGUCGUAAAACUCUGUUGUUGGAGAAGAAUGGUCGGCAGAGUAACUGUUGUCGGCGUGACGGUAUCCAACCAGAAAGCCACGGCUAACUACGUGCCAGCAGCCGCGGUAAUACGUAGGUGGCAAGCGUUAUCCGGAUUUAUUGGGCGUAAAGCGAGCGCAGGCGGUUUUUUAAGUCUGAUGUGAAAGCCCUCGGCUUAACCGAGGAAGUGCAUCGGAAACUGGGAAACUUGAGUGCAGAAGAGGACAGUGGAACUCCAUGUGUAGCGGUGAAAUGCGUAGAUAUAUGGAAGAACACCAGUGGCGAAGGCGGCUGUCUGGUCUGUAACUGACGCUGAGGCUCGAAAGCAUGGGUAGCGAACAGGAUUAGAUACCCUGGUAGUCCAUGCCGUAAACGAUGAGUGCUAGGUGUUGGAGGGUUUCCGCCCUUCAGUGCCGCAGCUAACGCAUUAAGCAUUCCGCCUGGGGAGUACGACCGCAAGGUUGAAACUCAAAGGAAUUGACGGA